rnacentral:rRNA from 1 species
AACGAACGCUGGCGGCAUGCCUAACACAUGCAAGUCGAACGAGACCUUCGGGUCUAGUGGCGCACGGGUGCGUAACGCGUGGGAACCUGCCCUUAGGUUCGGAAUAACUCCCCGAAAGGGGUGCUAAUACCGGAUAAUGUCUUCGGACCAAAGAUUUAUCGCCUUUGGAUGGGCCCGCGUUGGAUUAGCUAGUUGGUAGGGUAAAAGCCUACCAAGGCGACGAUCCAUAGCUGGUCUGAGAGGAUGAUCAGCCACACUGGGACUGAGACACGGCCCAGACUCCUACGGGAGGCAGCAGUGGGGAAUAUUGUACACUGGGCGAAAGCCUGAUCCAGCAAUGCCGCGUGAGUGAUGAAGGCCUUAGGGUUGUAAAGCUCUUUUACCCGGGAUGAUAAUGACAGUACCGGGAGAAUAAGCUCCGGCUAACUCCGUG